UACGGGGGGAGCAAGCGUUGUUCGGAUUUACUGGGCGUAAAGGGCGCGUAGGCGGCUACACACAAGUCAGUUGUGAAAUCUCCGGGCUUAACUCGGAAAGGUCAACUGAUACUGUGCGACUAGAGUGCAGAAGGGGCAACUGGAAUUCUCGGUGUAGCGGUGAAAUGCGUAGAUAUCGGAGAGGAACACCUGCGGCGAAGGCGGGUUGCUGGGCUGACACUGACGCUGAUGCGCGAAAGCCAGGGGAGCGAACGGG
rnacentral:rRNA from 1 species